rnacentral:rRNA from 1 species
UACGUAGGGGGCAAGCGUUGUCCGGAAUCAUUGGGCGUAAAGAGCGUGUAGGCGGCUUGGUAAGUCCGCUGUGAAAGUCCAGGGCUCAACCCUGGAAUGCCGGUGGAAACUGUCAAGCUUGAGUCCGGAAGAGGCGAGUGGAAUUCCUGGUGUAGCGGUGAAGUGCGCAGAUAUCAGGAGGAACACCGAUGGCGAAGGCAGGGUCUCUGGGCAUUAACUGACGCUGAGGAGCGAAAAGCAUGGGGGAGC